rnacentral:rRNA from 1 species
GAUGAACGCUGGCGGCGUGCCUAACACAUGCAAGUCGAACGGAAAGGCCCUUGCUUGCAGGGGUACUCGAGUGGCGAACGGGUGAGUAACACGUGGGUGAUCUGCCCUGCACUUCGGGAUAAGCCUGGGAAACUGGGUCUAAUACCGGAUAGGACCAUCGUUUAGUGUCGGUGGUGGAAAGUUUUUUCGGUGUGGGAUGAGCUCGCGGCCUAUCAGCUUGUUGGUGGGGUAAUGGCCUACCAAGGCGUCGACGGGUAGCCGGCCUGAGAGGGUGUACGGCCACAUUGGGACUGAGAUACGGCCCAGACUCCUACGGGAGGCAGCAGUGGGGAAUAUUGCACAAUGGGCGCAAGCCUGAUGCAGCGACGCCGCGUGGGGGAUGACGGCCUUCGGGUUGUAAACUCCUUUCGUCAGGGACGAAGCGAAAGUGACGGUACCUGGAUAAGAAGCACCGGCUAACUACGUG